AACAAGGCGUACCUGCGGACCUGCGGAAGGAUCAUUACUGAGUGAGGGCCUUCGGGCUCGACCUCCAACCCUUUGUGAACACAACUUGUUGCUUCGGGGGCGACCCUGCCGUUUCGACGGCGAGCGCCCCCGGAGGCCUUCAAACACUGCAUCUUUGCGUCGGAGUUUAAGUAAAUUAAACAAAACUUUCAACAAUGGAUCU
rnacentral:misc_RNA from 1 species